rnacentral:rRNA from 1 species
CUUGCCCUAUAUAAGAGGUCCAGCCUGCCCAGUGACAUUGUUCAACGGCCGCGGUAUCCUAACCGUGCGAAGGUAGCGUAAUCACUUGUUCUUUAAAUGAGGACUAGUAUGAAAGGCAUCACGAGAGUCAUACUGUCUCCUUUAUCUAAUCAGUGAAACUAAUUUUCCCGUGAAGAAGCGGGAAUAAAAUUAUAAGACGAGAAGACCCUAUGGAGCUUAAAACAAAUAACACUUGCCUAUCUAACCUAAAAAUUCCAGAAAAAUUUCUCUACUCUGGCAUCAUGAUUAUUAGUUUUCGGUUGGGGUGACCACGGAACAAAAAAUAACUUCCGCAAUGAAAGACACUCUAUUACUAAGUUAAGGACUACAGCCCUAUACAUCAACAAAUUGACACCAAUUGACCCAACAUGUUGAUCAAUGAAC